UCCCUGGUGGUCUAGUGGCUAAGACUAUGAGCUCCCAGUGCAAGGGUCCUGGGUUCAAUCCCUGGUCAGGGAA
rnacentral:tRNA from 1 species